GAGAGUUCGAUUCGGUCCACGGGGUCGGCGGGAAACCCAUAUGGGAUAGCGGGGGGGUCUUUGACGCAUGCGUCGGGCUGAGGGUGGACCCUUGGGUCUAACACCGCGUAUGUCCUAUCCGUGCUUGUUCUGGAGUGGAAAGAUUUAUCGGUGCUUGAUGGGCCCGCGGCCUUUCCUGUUGUUGGAGAGGUAACGGCUCACCAAGGCGACGACGGGUAGCCGACCUGAGAGGGUGACCGGCCACACUGGGACUGAGACACGGCCCAGACUCCUACGGGAGGCAGCAGUGGGGAAUAUUGCACAAUGGGCGCAAGCCUGAUGCAGCGACGCCGCGUGCGGGAUGACGGCCUUCGGGUUGUAAACCGCUUUUGACAGGGACGAAGCGCAAGUGACUGUACCUGUAGAAUAGGGACCGGCCAACUACGUGCCAGCAGCCGCGGUAAUACGUAGGGUCCGAGCGUUGUCCGGAAUUACUGGGCGUAAAGAGCUUGUAGGCGGUUCGUCGCGUCGUUUGUGAAAACCUGGGGCUCAACCUUAAGCUUGCAGGCGAUACGGGCGGACUAGAGUACUUCAGGGGAGACUGGAAUUCCUGGUGUAGCGGUGAAAUGCGCAGAUAUCAGGAGGAACACCGGUGGCGAAGGCGGGUCUCUGGGGAGUAACUGACGCUGAGAAGCAAAAGCAUGGGUAGCAAACAGGAUUAGAUACCUUGGUAGUCCAUGCCGUAAACGGUGGGUACUAGGUGUGGGGCUCCUUCCACGGACUCCGUGCCGUAGCUAACGCAUUAAGUACCCCGCCUGGGGAGUACGGCCGCAAGGCUAAAACUCAAAUGAAUUGACGGGG
rnacentral:rRNA from 1 species